GCCAUAGCUUACUCAAUGAUUGGAUGCUGAGGGUACUAAUUAACCUAGAUGGUAGCUUGCUAGAUUUGAUAAUGAUGAAACUACCCUCACAAUAUUGAUCUUGAUAAUUGUCUGGCAGUAUACUUGUUUUAUACCAAAUAUUAUUUAUUAAAUCCUUGUUAGAUUCUUAUGUUGUGAUGAUCAUGAUGAAAUUAUCCUCACAGUAUUGAUCUUUAUAAUUGUCUGGCAGUAUACUUGUUUUAUACCAAAUAUUAUUUAUUAAAUCCUUGUUAGAUUCUUAUGUUGUGAUGAUCAUGAUGAAAUUAUCCUCACAGUAUUGAUCUUU
rnacentral:misc_RNA from 1 species